GACGAACGCUGGCGGCGUGCCUAAUACAUGCAAGUUGAGCGAUGAAGAUUGGUGCUUGCACCAAUUUGAAGAGCAGCGAACGGGUGAGUAACGCGUGGGGAAUCUGCCUUUGAGCGGGGGACAACAUUUGGAAACGAAUGCUAAUACCGCAUAACAACUUUAAACAUAAGUUUUAAGUUUGAAAGAUGCAAUUGCAUCACUCAAAGAUGAUCCCGCGUUGUAUUAGCUAGUUGGUGAGGUAAAGGCUCACCAAGGCGAUGAUACAUAGCCGACCUGAGGGGGUGAUCGGCCACAUUGGGACUGAGACACGGCCCAAACUCCUACGGGAGGCAGCAGUAGGGAAUCUUCGGCAAUGGACGAAAGUCUGGCCGAGCAACGCCGCGUGAGUGAAGAAGGUUUUCGGAUCGUAAAACUCGGUUGGUAGAGAAGAACGUUGGUGAGAGUGGAAAGCUCAUCAAGUGACGGUAACUACCCAGAAAGGGACGGCUAACUACGUG
rnacentral:rRNA from 1 species